UACGUAGGUGGCAAGCGUUGUCCGGAUUUACUGGGCGUAAAGGGCGUGCAGGCGGUUUGUUAAGUGCAGGGUGAAAGCUCCCGGCUCAACUGGGAGAGGUCCUUGCAUACUGGCGAACUCGAGGGAGGCAGAGGAAAGUGGAAUUCCCGGUGUAGUGGUGAUAUGCGUAGAUAUCGGGAGGAACACCUGUGGCGAAGGCGGCUUUCUGGGCCUUACCUGACGCUGAGACGCGAAAGCGUGGUGAGCGAACCGG
rnacentral:rRNA from 1 species